UACGUAGGGUGCAAGCGUUGUCCGGAAUUAUUGGGCGUAAAGAGCUCGUAGGCGGUCUGUCGCGUCCGUUGUGAAAACUCGAGGCUCAACCUCGGGCUUGCAGUGGAUACGGGCAGACUAGAGUGCGGUAGGGGGAGACUGGAAUUCCUGGUGUAGCGGUGGAAUGCGCAGAUAUCAGGAGGAACACCGAUGGCGAAGGCAGGUCUCUGGGCCGCAACUGACGCUGAGAGCGAAAGCAUGGGGAGCGAACAGG
rnacentral:rRNA from 1 species